AGAGAGAGACAUGCGCGCAUAUCAAUAAGCGGAGGAAAAGAAACUAACAAGGAUUCCCCUAGUAACGGCGAGUGAAGCGGGAAGAGCUCAAAUUUGAAAUCUUAAAGGGUUUCCCUUUACGAAUUGUAGUUUAAAGAAGUGUUUUCUGUUGAGGUUUUGGUAAAAGUUCUUUGGAAUAGGACAUCAUAGAGGGUGAGAAUCCCGUAUUUGACCUUUACUUUCAACUUUGUGAUACACUUUCAAAGAGUCGGAUUGUUUGGGAAUGCAGUCCAAAAUGGGUGGUAAAUUUCAUCUAAAGCUAAAUAUUGGCGAGAGACCGAUAGCGAACAAGUACCGUGAGGGAAAGAUGAAAAGAACUUUGAAAAGAGAGUUAAACAGUACGUGAAAUUGUCAAAAGGGAAGCGUUUGACACCAGUGUUGUUUUUCUGAAAAUCAAUUAAAGAACUGUUUAUGCUAAGCUGUUUAGACUUUAUCAGCUAAUCUGUUUAGUUUUGUAGCUUUUCUUUAAUGCACUUUUCAGUUAACAAGUCAACAUCAAUUUCUUUUGCUGUAAAAAAGCUUGAGGAAGGUGGCUUGAGAUUCGUCUUAAGUGUUUAUAGCCUCUUGCCUAUGCAGUCGGAGAGAUUGAGGUCUGCAGCGUAGAUCCUUCGGGGCUAAAUGCAUUUGUGCUAAGUUAUAGCAUUUUAUAGACAACUUGUUGACUAUGAUUUGUCUUGUAGCUUACUCGCUUAUGUUAUUUUACCUACGCUUAGGAUGUUGACGCAUGAGAUAUACGC
rnacentral:rRNA from 1 species